CACACACACACACAUGCACACCCACACACACACACACACACACAUAUAUAUACAUUCAUUCUCUCUCGCUCUCACACACACACACACACACACACACACAUUCACUCACAUGCACAGAAAGACUGGCAUGUCCACAGGAUACUGCAAACAGCCGACGGCACAGACUGAGAAGAGAAGAGCGCGUGAUUGAGAGACACGGAGAGAAUUAGAGGAAGAAAUCGAGCAAGAAAAUGUAAAGAGGGAGAGAGUCAGAGAGGGAGUCAGAAAAACAGAGUGAGAGAGAGGGGGAGAGAGAAAGAGAGAGAGAGAGAGGGGGAGAGGGAGGAGAAGUAGGAGUGUGAGAGAAGGAGAGCGAGUGAAGGAAAGAGAGAGAGAGAGCGACGGAGGAGAGACAAAGACUACUGCUUGAAGAGCUGUUUCCUGCAAGCCAUGUGCAGCGGCGGAGUGUCGCACAGCGGAAUGUGUCUGCUACUCCCGACUUAUCGCAUGGGCAACGGCGCUGGUGCGCAAGGGUGGAAGAACGUGGCUGUGCAGUCGAGUCAGACAAAAGGGCUCUGGGUGCUUUGAAGAGGAGUCCCUGCCUGAGGAGGAGGGGACAGCCUCGCCUCGUCUUGACCGGGGACCUUUCUCCAAAAGGAGUGACUGACAGCCUUUGAAGCGGAUCUCCGGCCUCUAUCUCUCUCUCUCUCUCUCUCUCUCUCUCUCUCUCUCUCUCCCUCUCUCUCUCUCUCUCUCUCUUUCCUUCUCUAUGACUCCACUGAAGAGGCAGCAGGACGCAAGGGAAGUCGGGGACCCCGGACAGCGUGCAGGAAAUACUCCUUUCACCCAGACUGAGUAAGUGAACGAAAAAGAGAGAGACGAAAAGAGAGAAGAGAGAAAAAAAACAGAGCGCUUUGGCUACUAAUGGAUAUCAUAUGGUGCAUGUUAAAAUUGAGAAAUUGUUUGCAGAUUCUUGAUAACCACACAGAGAAAGACUGAAAGCAUUUGAAGUGAAGUUUUGGCUGGCUAAAAUGUGAUUUUUGUGUUCUGGUAAAUUUGAGCAAAAAAUAAUUCUAAUAAUGUUGCCUAAAGUAUUGACACGGUUUUAAAAUGCUGAUGUUGGUGGAUUGCCGUGUGUGUCGGACGUUGUCGGUGUAGAUCAUUGUAUGCUUGGUAUUAUGUGAUAGAAUAGACAGACAUACUUAAGCAGUGCUUCGUCGAUCUUCUUCCUGGCUGAGUUUUCAUAGGAGACAACUGUCAGCAAGCAAAAGCACAUUCUUAUUUAAUUAUUAGAGUAGAGUACAGAGUUGUGAAGUGAAAAUGUCAUGUGGCUUUUUGGGAACAGACUAGAGGGUUUUGUAGUUCAGUAUAUAUAUAUUUUUUUUUUUCUUGUAAUUUGUGGCAAAGUUCAGGGAAGGCAUAUGGUGUGUGUGUGUGUGUGUGUGUGUGUGUGUGUCAGAGAUUGUCACGUGCUCUGCUGAGGGUUCUCUUGGGGUCUCUGUUACUUACCGGCUGCUUGAGUCUCAAAUGAACGUCUUACUGUGUUGGUGUGAGUGUGAGUGUGUAUGGUGUGUCUGUGUGAAUGAGUGUGUGUGUGUGAAUGUGAAUGUGAAUGUGAGUGUGUGUGAGUACAUGCUCGUCAGCAUUUGUAGUGGUGAGAGCCGGGGGUGGAAAGGCGGAACAAUGUAUACAGUAACCCUACUCAGCACAAUGCUAUUUUUUUUAUGAAUGGGCCAGGGGAGCGGGCUCUCUGAUUGGCUGGAAGCGGUGGGUGAUCACAGGACACACACUCUCAGCUGGCUCAGUGUCGGCAGCAGGGCUGGAGGGAGUCGUCUCCGGCGGUUAGACUAGACACACUCACCCAUACUGCCCCGACGCUCACACUGACCGACUUGAAGACCGGUACGGCAAGGUCAGAAUGUGUGUGUGUGUGUGUGUGUGUGCGUGUGUGUGUGCUGUUAGUAUGGGAGCACUAGAUUGUCAGUGUAUGUACUGUAUGUGUUGUAGUAUGCGUACCGAUAAAAUGUCAGUAGUAGUGAGGUUUUUUUGUUUUUUUUUGCAUGUGUGUGUAUGUGUGUGACAACAGACUGAAAAGUUGACCUUUUCAAUGCGUGGAUGUAUUUUACUGUGUGUAUAUGAAAGAGUGCUAGUGUGUGUGUGUGUGUGUGUGUGUGUGUGUGUGAUUGAAAGUGUUGGUUUUUCUACGUGUGUGUGUGUCAUGGGUGUGUGUGUGUGUAUAUGAGUGCUGAAUGAAUCAGUGUUAGGAGAGGUCUGGGCUACAUGUGUUUGUCUAAAGGGACUUAGUCACAGGCCAAGUGGCUGUGUGUGUGUGUGUGUGUGUGUGUGUAUGUGUAUGUGUGUGUGUGUGUGUGUGUGUGUGUGUGUGUGUGUGUGUGUGUGUGUGUGUGUGUGUGCGCACGCGUGUGUGUUUGUGUGAGAGAGCCAUCGCGAACAAGGCCUCUCGUCCAGCUGUUGUCCUUCAGAGAUCCACAUUAAGCGCUCGCCGACGACCUUCAGUGCAAAAAAACCCAGUGAACCAGCAGCAAUCUUGUGACUCUGAGCCAGGGAUAAUUUCAUUGCAGUGGGAAACUCAGGGACUCCAGUGCCCCACAGCACCUGACCUGGAGCCACCACUGGGCCACAACUGGGCCACAUCACAGCCAGAUCUGGCCCGCAGUUAGCAGCAGUCAUCAGUUUGAACGUCUCUGAAAGCUGCAUUUAAAAUAUC